rnacentral:rRNA from 1 species
CUACUGAUCUUAGCGGCGGACGGGUGAGUAAUGCUUAGGAAUCUGCCUAUUAGUGGGGGACAACAUUUCGAAAGGAAUGCUAAUACCGCAUACGUCCUACGGGAGAAAGCAGGGGAUCUUCGGACCUUGCGCUAAUAGAUGAGCCUAAGUCGGAUUAGCUAGUUGGUGGGGUAAAGGCCUACCAAGGCGACGAUCUGUAGCGGGUCUGAGAGGAUGAUCCGCCACACUGGGACUGAGACACGGCCCAGACUCCUACGGGAGGCAGCAGUGGGGAAUAUUGGACAAUGGGCGCAAGCCUGAUCCAGCCAUGCCGCGUGUGUGAAGAAGGCCUUAUGGUUGUAAAGCACUUUAAGCGAGGAGGAGGCUACUGAAGUUAAUACCUUCAGAUAGUGGACGUUACUCGCAGAAUAAGCACCGGCUAACUCUGUGCCAGCAGCCGCGGUAAUACAGAGGGUGCAAGCGUUAAUCGGAUUUACUGGGCGUAAAGCGCGCGUAGGCGGCUAAUUAAGUCAAAUGUGAAAUCCCCGAGCUUAACUUGGGAAUUGCAUUCGAUACUGGUUAGCUAGAGUGUGGGAGAGGAUGGUAGAAUUCCAGGUGUAGCGGUGAAAUGCGUAGAGAUCUGGAGGAAUACCGAUGGCGAAGGCAGCCAUCUGGCCUAACACUGACGCUGAGGUGCGAAAGCAUGGGGAGCAAACAGGAUUAGAUACCCUGGUAGUCCAUGCCGUAAACGAUGUCUACUAGCCGUUGGGGCCUUUGAGGCUUUAGUGGCGCAGCUAACGCGAUAAGUAGACCGCCUGGGG